CUUCACCCCUCUUCCUUCCCCCAUCAACCCUUCUGCCUGAAGAAGGAGCCACUGGCUCUGAAAGCUUGCCAGUUACAACCUUCUUUUAUGUGUGUUCUGCUGCUGCUGUUUAUUUUGAUUUGGGCACUUGUGGGAUGGUUUUAAGGUUUAGAUUUUUUUCUGGGCAUAGGAUCUAAUUUUAAAGUAUUGCCUGGUAUUCUCCAAUUAGGUAGUCUGGUCUGUGAAUUCAAUCUGACAUUUUUAUUUUGGUUUCCAUUGCCCCACUUUGUGGUAACAGAAGAGGGUAUGGGUUGACUCAAAACUGUAUAUGUUCAUGUACUCUUAACUGACAAGUUCAUUCCUAUGUUUAGUUUAGUUUUGAAGAAAAGACUACAAAUAACACUAUAAUAUCUCUCGAAGUUGUUGAUUCAUCGCUUUAAGUUGUUGAUUCAUCACUUUUGAUAGGUCACAUAUAUAAUUUAAUCAGUGAAGUCCAAUAUUUCACAAAUUCAGAUUUCAGUAUUUUUGCUUUCUCCAUCUGUAGACGUAUGUAUCUGUGUUGAGAACGUCAUGAGUUUCUGCCUUUAAAGCCAAGAAAGUCACUGCCAAUCUCUAAAGCCAAGAAAAUCAUUGCCAAAAUAUUUAGUUUGUACGAAAAUUUCAUGAGUCCAGGACUCAUGACUUUUCAUACUACAUCUUCUCAUUAGUUUUAUUUAAUAUUUUUUAAAUCACUGGACGUAACCUACCGUUUAUAUCCCUGUAUUAAUAACAGUCAGACUUUAUCAGUUCCGACUCAUGAUCUAUUGCUGGCACCAUGUUGUAAGGCAAAUCCUGUGUGGUUGUUGUCUAAUCGUUCAUUAGUAGUGGCAAUUUAAUCAGAAAAGAGAGCAUGGACUCAUAUGAAGAAGGUAUCAGCCGUAACAAGAGGAAAGGCAUACAGCAUUAUGAUAAAUACAAACACAUCUUAAUAAAGAAGGCUAGAUUAUGAGGAGAAGUGUAAAUUAACUACAAAGGACAAAACAUUCCUUCAACUGCGACAUGGAAAAAUUCCAUUUGUAAGCUUCGGUGUUUUGAUGUCAUUGAUGAGAUUGACAGGGUCCAGAUCCUGGAAAUGUUCAAGGAAUUCGGGAGCAAGGAUGCGCAAGAUGGAAGUUAUGGAAAUUAUCUGCAGACACCCAAGGAAGGAUAAUCCAAAAAGCAGGGAGAAGAACUUCAAAUAAAUGUUCAAGUUCAGGGAAAGAGACUACUGCUAUUUAAAAAUGUAUUUAUUAGUAUUCAUAGCCUGAAGAGUGACAGGAGGAUUCAAAGAUUAGGAGACUUGCUGGUUUUAGGAAAAUCUCCUGUAGAUAACAGGGGUAAGAGCAUGGGAAGCAGAGUCAGGACUAUAAAAGGUGAUGUUACUGAUAAAAUAAAGGAACACAUUGAAUCAUUCGAGGUAAAAGUGACUUACUAUACAAACAGAGAUAUUAAGUAUUUGAAGGUUGGUUUGAAUGUAAAGAUCACGCAUUCGCUAUUUCUAGAGACAUUCCCCAAUUUGGCUGUAAAAUAUGGAUUUUUCCUCGAAAAUUGUAGUUAGAGGUCUGGCAGACCUCAAAAAGAUGUUUGUGGUUACUGUGAGGAACUGAAAAUUCAACUAAAAAACACUUACCUUUGUGAUUCAGCUAAAGGAGUGAUUGUUGCUGGGCAAAUGGUUCGUAUUCAAAGGACCAAAAAGUUUUAUAAAAAGAUAAAAGCUGUACAGGAAAAGUGCAAGCAAAACGACGAUGUCGAAGGCAUAUGUGUGGAUUUUAUGCAGAACGCACCACUUCCCUGCAUUGAAUAUAUUGAACUUAUCCUACUUUCUGGCAAUAAAAAGAACUCAUUCAUCAGCUAUCUUGAGGAUAACAACAUUGUUAAGAACUAUGAGGACUGGUGGCCAGAUCUUUUUAAACACAAUUCGUAGAGUUUAGAAACAGUGGGAAAAGACAGUUCAAUGAAAGUCGACUUAAGUGUAUAUCAGACUCUCAACAACAUUAACACAUGGAGAGAAAUGUCCUAUAAACAAAGUUAAGAUAAACGAUAUAAAAAAAAAAAAUAGGAACAAUACAUCCCAGAGGAGUACAAAAACUUUUAUAUUGAUUUAUCCACUUGGCCUA